rnacentral:tRNA from 1 species
UCUUGAAUGGUCUAGUGGUCAGGAUACCUGCUUGUCAUUAGAACAAUUCGCAGGUGGCCGGGGUUCGAUUCCCCGUUCGAGAG